rnacentral:rRNA from 1 species
AUUGAACACUGGCGGCAGGCCUAACACAUGCAAGUCGAGCGGAUGAAGGGAGCUUGCUCCUGGAUUCAGCGGCGGACGGGUGAGUAAUGCCUAGGAAUCUGCCUGGUAGUGGGGGAUAACGUCCGGAAACGGGCGCUAAUACCGCAUACGUCCUGAGGGAGAAAGUGGGGGAUCUUCGGACCUCACGCUAUCAGAUGAGCCUAGGUCGGAUUAGCUAGUUGGUGGGGUAAAGGCCUACCAAGGCGACGAUCCGUAACUGGUCGGAGAGGAUGAUCAGUCACAUUGGAACUGAGACACGGUCCAGACUCCUACGGGAGGCAGCAGUGGGGAAUAUUGGACAAUGGGCGAAAGUCUGAUCCAGCCAUGCCGCGUGUGUGAAGAAGGUCUUCGGAUUGGAAAGCCCUUUUAGUUGGUAUGAAGGGCAGUAAGUUAAUACCUUGCGGUUUUGACGUUACCAACAGAAUAAGCACCGGCUAACUUCGUG